UGGGGAAUAUUGGACAAUGGGGGAAACCUGAUCCAGCGACGCCGUCGUGAGUGAAGAAGUGUUUCGGCAUGUAAAGCUCUAUCAGCAGGGAAGAAAAUGACGGUACUGACUAAGAAGCCCCGGCUAACUACGG
rnacentral:rRNA from 1 species